rnacentral:rRNA from 1 species
GAGACAGCAGUAGCCGCGGUAAUACGGAGGAUGCAAGCGUUACUCGGAAUCACUGGGCGUAAAGGACGCGUAGGCGGAUUAUCAAGUCUCUUGUGAAAUCUAACGGCUUAACCGUUAAACUGCUUGGGAAACUGAUAAUCUAGAGUAAGGGAGAGGCAGAUGGAAUUCUUGGUGUAGGGGUAAAAUCCGUAGAGAUCAAGAAGAAUACCCUUGCGAAAGCGAUCUGCUGGAACUUAACUGUCGCUAAUGCGUGAAAGCGUGGGGAGCAAACAGGAUUAGAUACCCCAGUAGUCCCUGUCUCUUAUACC